AAAGAUUAAGCCAUGCAUGUCUAAGUACAUGCCGAAAUAAGGCGAAACCGCGNAUGGCUCAUUAAAUCAGUUAUGGUUCCUUAGAUCGUUUCUUCCUACNUGGAUAACUGUGGCAAUUCUAGAGCUAAUACAUGCAGUGAGCCUGGAGCCCUUUGGGUAACGGGUGCUUUUAUUAGACCAAGAUCGAUCGGGUUUCGGCCCGUAUUGUGUGGUGACUCUGGAUAACUUUGUGCUGAUCGCAUGGCCACGAGCCGGCGACGUUUCUUUCAAGUGUCUGCCUUAUCAACUUUCGAUGGUAGGUUACUUGCUUACCAUGGUUGUUACGGGUAACGGAGAAUCAGGGUUCGAUUCCGGAGAGGGAGCCUGAGAAACGGNUACCACAUCCAAGGAAGNCAGCAGGCGNGCAAAUUACCCANUCCCGGCACGGGGAGGNAGUGACGAAAAAUAACAAUACGGGACUNUUUUGAGGCCCCGUAAUUGAAAUGAGUACACUCUAAAUCCUUUAACGAGGAUCAAUUGGAGGGCAAGUCUGGUGCCAGCAGCCGCGGUAAUUCCAGCUCCAAUAGCGUAUACUAAAGCUGCUGCGGUUAAAAAGCUCGUAGUUGGAUCUCAGUUCCAGACGAGUAGUGCAUCUACCCGAUGCGACGGCUCGGACUGAACAUCAUGCCGGUUCUUUCUUGGUGCACUUCAUUGUGUGCCUCGAGAUGGCCGGUGCUUUUACUUUGAAAAAAUUAGAGUGCUCAACGCAGGCGAGUCGCCUGAAUAAACUUGCAUGGAAUAAUAGAACAAGACCUCGUUUCUGUUCUGUUGGUUUUUGGAAUACGAGGUAAUGAUUAAGAGGGACGGACGGGGGCAUUCGUAUUGCGGCGCUAGAGGUGAAAUUCUUGGACCGUCGCAAGACGAACUACUGCGAAAGCAUUUGCCAANAAUGUUUUCAUUGAUCAAGAACGAAAGUCAGAGGUUCGAAGGCGAUCAGAUACCGCCCUAGUUCUGACCAUAAACGAUGCCAACCAGCGAUCCGCCUGAGUUACUCAAAUGACUCGGCGGGCAGCUUCCGGGAAACCAAAGUAUUUGGGUUCCGGGGGAAGUAUGGUUGCAAAGCUGAAACUUAAAGGAAUUGACGGAAGGGCNCCACCANGAGUGGAGCCUGCGGCUUAAUUUGACUCAACACGGGAAAACUUACCCGGCCCGGACACUGGGAGGAUUGACAGAUUGAGAGCUCUUUCUUGAUUCGGUGGAUGGUGGUGCAUGGCCGUUCUUAGUUGGUGGAGCGAUUUGUCUGGUUAAUUCCGAUAACGAACGAGACUCUAGCCUAUUAAAUAGGUGCGGGGUUCCCAGCACCUUACAACCUUCUUAGAGGGACAAGCGGCUCCUAGCCGCACGAAACAGAGCAAUAACAGGUCUGUGAUGCCCUUAGAUGUCCGGGGCCGCACGCGCGCUACACUGAAGGAAGCAGCGUGUCUUUAUCCCUGUCUGAAAAGACUGGGUAACCCGUGGAACUUCUUUCGUGAUUGGGAUAGGGGCUUGCAAUUGUUCCCCUUGAACGAGGAAUUCCCAGUAAGCGCGAGUCAUAAGCUCGCGUUGAUUACGUCCCUGCCCUUUGUACACACCGCCCGUCGCUACUACCGAUUGAAUGAUUUAGUGAGGUCUUCGGACCGAUGUCCGGCGCGGCCUUUCGGUUGCGCCGGUCUGUUGGAAAGAUGACCAAACUUGAUCAUUUAGAGGAAGUAAAAGUCGUAACAAGGUU
rnacentral:rRNA from 1 species